rnacentral:rRNA from 1 species
GAUGAACGCUAGCUACAGGCUUAACACAUGCAAGUCGCGGGGCAGCAUGGGGGUUGCUUGCAAUCCCCGAUGGCGACCGGCGCACGGGUGAGUAACGCGUAUCCAACCUGCCCUUCACCACGGGAUAACCCGGCGAAAGUCGGACUAAUACCGUAUGUGGUCCAUUGACGGCAUCCGAUUUGGACGAAAGGCUUGGCGGUGAGGGAUGGGGAUGCGUCCGAUUAGCCAGACGGCGGGGUAACGGCCCACCGUGGCUACGAUCGGUAGGGGUUCUGAGAGGAAGGUCCCCCACACUGGAACUGAGACACGGUCCAGACUCCUACGGGAGGCAGCAGUGAGGAAUAUUGGUCAAUGGGCGUAAGCCUGAACCAGCCAAGUAGCGUGCAGGAUGACGGCCCUAUGGGUUGUAAACUGCUUUUAUGCGGGGAUAAAGUGGCCCACGUGUGGGCUUUUGCAGGUACCGCAUGAAUAAGGACCGGCUAAUUCCGUG